rnacentral:rRNA from 1 species
GGGUUAACGGGGGAUCAGGGUUCGAUUCCGGAGAGGGAGCCUGAGAAACGGCUACCACAUCUAAGGAAGGCAGCAGGCGCGCAAAUUACCCAAUCCAGACUUUGGGAGGUAGUGACGAGAAAUACCGGAGUAGACCGUUAWAUGGUUCACUAUCGGAAUGAACGUAAUCCAAUACCUUCGAUGAGUAGCAACUGGAGGGCAAGUCUGGUGCCAGCAGCCGCGGUAAUUCCAGCUCCAGUAGUGUAUAUCAAAAUUGUUGCGGUUAAAACGCUCGUAGUUGGAUUACAAAAGCUCUUUGGCGACCAAAUCUAGGUUUGGUCGCCGAGGGGUUUUUUUAUCGCGAGAGCCGCUCGUGGGAUUCAUUUCUUGUGGGCGGUCACUUGCGAGGUGUGCCUUGAAAUAUAAGCACCAGUGCUCAAAGGCAGGCGUUKGCUCGAAUGUUAUUAGCAUGGAACGAUUAAGUUGAUCUUGUCGACUGUUGGUUGUUGACAUUGGUCUCGAUUAAAAGGGACAUUUGAGGGCGUUAGUACUUGGUGGCGAGGGGUGAAAUCCUUAGACCCAUCAAAGACUAACUAAUGCGAAAGCAUUCGCCAAGAGUGUUUUCAUUAAUCAAGAACGAAAGUAGGAGGUUCGAAGACGAUCAGAUACCGUCCUAGUUCCUUACAGUAAACUAUGCCAACAUGGGAUUAGCCCGGUUUAAUCCAGGUUGGGCCCUCGGUGAAAAUAAGUGUUUCGGUUCCGGGGAGAGUGCGCACGCAAGUGGUAAAUUUAAAGAAAUUGACGGAAUGGCACCACCAGGAGUGGAGCCUGCGGCUUAAUUUGAUUCAACACGGGGAAACUCACCAGGUCCAGACAUUGAUAGGGAUUGACAGACUGAGAGAUCUUUCAUGAUUUGAUGAUUGGUGGUGCAUGGCCGUUCUUAGUUGGUGGAGUGAUCUGUCAGGUUUAUUCCGGUAACGAGCGAGACCACGAUCUUUAAUUGAUUACGACCAUAUUGUCUUGGCCGAUCUUAAAGAGACCACCGGAGUUAAGCCGGGGGAAGCGUGGCAAUAACAGGUCUGUGAUGCCCUUCGAUGUUCUGGGCUGCACGUGUGCUACAAUGAUAGUGACAACAAGUCCCUGCCUUGAGAGGGGCGGGAAAUCUUGAAAAUCGCUAUCUUGCUUUGGACUGAGCCUUGUAAUAAUUGCUCACGAAAGAGGAAUUCCUCGUAAGCGCGAGUCAUCAGCUCGUGUUGAAUACGUCUCUGCCCUUUGUACACACCGCCCGUCGCUACUACCGACUGGAUGUUGUUUCGAAAAGCUAGGACUGGCGGUUCCAUUAGGAGCUGCCCGGGAACAGCC